rnacentral:lncRNA from 1 species
AUGGACUGGGAGGGACUGGGAGGGACUGGGAGGGGGUUUGGGGUUACUGGUUUAUACUGGGAGGGAACUGGGAGGGGGUUUGGGGUUACUGCUUUAUACUGGGAGGGACUGGGAGGGAACUGGGAGGGACUGGGAGGAACUGGGAGGGAGUUUGGGGUUACUGGUUUAUACUGGGAGGGACUGGGAGGGACUGGGAGGGAACUGGGAGGGAACUGGGAGGGACUGGGAGGGAGUUUGGGGUUACUGGUUUAUACUGGGAGGGGACUGGGAGGGAACUGGGAGGGGGUUUGGGGUUACUGGUUUAUACUGGGAGGGGACUGGGAGGGACUGGGAGGGAGUUUGGGGUUACUGGCUUAUACUGGGAGGGGACUGGGAGGGCGUUUGGGGUUACUGGUUUAUACUGGGAGGGACUGGAAGGGGGUUUGGGGUUACUGGUUUAUACUGGGAGGGACUGGGAGGGACUGGGAGGGAGUUUGGGGUUACUGGUUUAUACUGGGAGGGACUGGGAGGGAACUGGGAGGGGGUUUGGGGUUACUGGUUUAUACUGGGAGGGACUGGGAGGGACUGGGAGGGAACUGGGAGGGAACUGGGAGGGACUUUGGGGUUACUGGUUUAUACUGGGAUGCAACUGGGCUGAACUGGGAGGGACUGGGAGGGACUGGGAGGGGGUUUGGGGUUACUGGUUUAUACUGGGAUGAAACUGGGAGGGAGUUUGGGGUUACUGGUUUAUACUGGGAGGGACUGGGAGGGACUAGGAUAUACUGGGAGGGGGUUUGGGGUUACUGGUUUAUACUGGGAGGGACUGGGAGGGACUGGGAGGGAGUUUGGGGUUACUGGUUUAUACUGGGAGGGACUGGGAGGGACUGGGAGGGGGUUUGGGGUUACUGGUUUAUACUGGGAUGGAACUGGGAGGGAGUUUGGGGUUACUGGUUUAUACUGGGAGGGACUGGGAGGGACUGGGAGGGACUGGGAGGGGGUUUGGGGUUACUGGUUUAUACUGGGAGGGACUGGGAGGGGGUUUGGGGUUACUGGUUUAUACUGGGACGGACUGGGAGGGAGUUUGGGGUUACUGGUUUAUACUGGUUUAGGGUUUGCUGUUACUGGGACAGACUGGGAGCGGAUUGGGAUAAACUGGGAGGCACUGGGAGGGAACUGGUCUAUACUGGUUUAUACUGGGAGGAGCGGAACCUGGAGGUGGUGCGGCGCAAACAGCGCGAGAAGAAGAAACUGGGCCUGAGACAGCCCAAACUGGGACAAACUGGGACAUACUGGGACACACUGGGACGGCAAUAA